AUUCUAUGCCACACCACCCUGAACGCAACCGAUCUCAACUGAUCCUGGAAGCUAAGCAGGGUCAGGCCUGGUUAGUACCUGGGUGGGAGAAAUUUAAUACUGAAUU
rnacentral:rRNA from 1 species